rnacentral:lncRNA from 1 species
UAAUGGUAAACAAACGUAAUCUAAUUCAAAACAACUCAAAGAAAUUUCAAACAAACAAUAAAAUUCUUAAAGAAAUAUUAGAAUGAUCACAAAUUUUACUCAAAUAUAUGUCAAUUCAACCUUAAUUUAAUUCUAAUUAAAACCCUAUUGAAUUUCAGUCAACUUUAGACCAAACCUAAUUAAAUCUUAAACCCUAAUAAUUCCUAAACCCUAAGUCAAAUCUUAAAAAAAUCUUAAAUUAAACCCUAUUCCAAAUCCUAAAUCCUAAACCAAACCCUAAAUCAAACCCUAAACCAAACUCUAAUCCAACCCUAAACCCUAAAACAAACCAAACCCUAACCAAAUCCUAAACUCUAAUCCAAAUCCUAAACCCUAAACCAAACCUUAAAUCAAAUUCUAAUCCAAAUCCUAAAUCAAAUCCUAACCAAACCCUAAUCCAAACCCUAAUCCAACCCUAAACUCUAAUCCAAAUCCUAAACUCUAAACCAAACCUUAAAUCAAAUCCUAAUCCAAACCCUAAAUCAAAUCCUAAUCAAAUCCUAAACCCUAAUCCAAACC